rnacentral:rRNA from 1 species
GAUGAACGCUGGCGGCGUGCCUAAUACAUGCAAGUCGAGCGAACAGACGAGGAGCUUGCUCCUCUGACGUUAGCGGCGGACGGGUGAGUAACACGUGGAUAACCUACCUAUAAGACUGGGAUAACUUCGGGAAACCGGAGCUAAUACCGGAUAAUAUAUUGAACCGCAUGGUUCAAUAGUGAAAGACGGUUUUGCUGUCACUUAUAGAUGGAUCCCCGCCGCAUUAGUUAGUUGGUAAGGUAACGGCUUACCAAGGCAACGAUGCGUAGCCGACCUGAGAGGGUGAUCGGCCACACUGGAACUGAGACACGGUCCAGACUCCUACGGGAGGCAGCAGUAGGGAAUCUUCCGCAAUGGGCGAAAGCCUGACGGAGCAACGCCGCGUGAGUGAUGAAGGUCUUCGGAUCGUAAAACUCUGUUAUUAGGGAAGAACAAAUGUGUAAGUAACUAUGCACGUCUUGACGGUACCUAAUCAGAAAGCCACGGCUAACUACGUG